GUGUCAGGGCCCGGCAGACUGUGGACCCCACGCAAACUGCAUCAAUGUGCCCGGGAGUUACUCCUGCACCUGCAUCGAUGGCUACAAGUCCAGCUCUGGGAAAGCCACCUUCACGCACGCGAGUGGGGACACCUGCCAGGAUAUUGACGAGUGUCAGGGCCCGAGCCCGGCAGACUGCGGACCCCACGCAAACUGCACCAACGUGCCUGGGAAUUACUACUGCACCUGCAUUGAUGGCUACGAGCUCAGCUCUGGGAAAGCCAAAUUCACGCACGCGAGUGAGAACACCUGCCAGGAUAUUGACGAGUGUCAGGGCCCGAACCCGGCAGACUGUGGACCCCACGCAAACUGCACCAACGUGCCUGGGAAUUACUCCUGCACCUGCAUCAAUGGCUACAAGCCCACAUCUGGGAAAGCCAACUUCACCCACGCGAGUGAGAACA